rnacentral:rRNA from 1 species
GUCGGAAGGAUCAUUAUCGAAUAAUA